CCCCCCCACGGACACGCAACUACCAUUUUGGCUAGCUGAGAACCAGGCCUGUCUUUGUUCUACCCUUCCACUGCCAACUUUUUCUUAGUGGUCAGCUGGGGAACUAGGCCCUUGUUUGUUCUGAUCCAGGGAUUCAGAGUGACUAAGCACUUAUUGUCCCCGCCCGGUAAGGACUGUGCAUUAGUAGGAUAGGACAUUUUUAUUUGGAUAAUCUCUGAUUCAAACCUGUGAUAGCAUGUUGGCACACCCUGCAGCGAUUGCGCUGACACGGACCUCAUAACCUGUUAGGCCACUGGGGCAAAAGAGCUCUCUCACACCAGCGCCAUGCUGGUAGUAGAGGGGACGAACCAAUCCAAACCCCCCCAACAGGUUGGAACCUCAUAUUCACGUGAUAAACAUUGGGCUAGAGGUGCAAUGAGAUUCAAGAUAUAAACUAUUCAAUACAAUAAUAAAUUUCAUAGCUAUCGCCAGUGUUACGAAUAUACCCAACAUGUAACGGAUCAUUAUCACAUCCCCGAGUGCCCAUACCACCCUUGAUCCAUAAUCGUAACAUUGACAUUCACAUUCAUAACUGCGUGCUGGAAACAUACUCAUAGGUCUGCUUUGACCGAGGUUCACCUAUUCAAUCCCCAAACAGGCCAUCCAUCGCCAUUGGUGCCAUCCAAGUGCACUGCAAUUUUCCCCCCUCUGAUACGGGGACACCAUUUAUUGCAAAUACUCUCCAUUUGUUUCUUUAUGGAUGACAUCAAACAGGGGUUUCGCAUUAAAGUAGCCUGCUCCAGGAGUGCCAAUGGUUUUAUAGGUAAAGAGCGCAUCCUCAUCUUCGAUUUUCAUCGUCACACUGCCGCGACCCGCUGCUGCGGCAUCCGCCAUCAAUUGGGAUUGGCAGCAUCUCUCCAGAGAGAUGAACCAGAAUACUGCCUCCUCAAUCGUUUUGCCCACAGUCAAAAGACCGUGAUUUUGCAGAAGGGCGGCCUUUUUGUUGCCUAACGUGCUUGCGAUGUUUUCCCCCUCCUCUUUAGCAAGGACGACGCCUUUGAAUUGUUUAUAGAUAGCGAGAUCCUAAAAGGUGUCAAGGAACAUAUUCAAAGUUAGUUUACAUUUUGCCGCAUGGUGCGGGCGCGGAGAACGAGAUGCUGCCAUUUAUUUUUCUGACCAGAGGAAGAUAUCACGGGGCAAACAGGAGGUAUGUGAGAACAAUGAGUAAAUUUUAAAAAAGGGUUAUAACCUCGAUCAAUUUGAAGGGGAAAUAGAGAUGAGGAUGAAGUGGAGAAGAUGGAA
rnacentral:sRNA from 1 species